UACGGGGGGAGCAAGCGUUGUUCGGAUUUACUGGGCGUAAAGGGCGCGUAGGCGGCCACCGCAAGUCGACUGUGAAAUCUCCGGGCUUAACCCGGAAAGGUCAGCCGAUACUGCGGGGCUAGAGUGCAGAAGGGGCAACUGGAAUUCUCGGUGUAGCGGUGAAAUGCGUAGAUAUCGAGAGGAACACCUGCGGCGAAGGCGGGUUGCUGGGCUGACACUGACGCUGAUGCACGAAAGCGUGGGGAGCAAACAGG
rnacentral:rRNA from 1 species